UUUCUCCUCCCGGUUUUGUUUUCUCUCCUCUUCUUCCAUGCUACACUUCUUUGAUUCCAAUCUUCUUUGGUUUUCUGUUUCUGUUUCUUUCUAUCGAUUUCUGUUAUGCGAUCGUUGUAAGGGGUGUUUUGGGGAUUGUGAGAAGUUGGCGAUUGGGAGAGGUUGAUUCUGUUACGAUUUUCCGUUACGUUCAAUUUUUGAAGUCAUUUUUUUUGUUUUCCUUCAUUUGCAGGUUGUUCAGAAGAAUCUGUUAGGGAGAGGGAGGUUAUGGAGGAUGGAGAGUGAAGAAGUUGUUUUGCUCUAUUCGGUUCAAGGGUGUUGUUACGGAGUUAGUCGAGUUUUAGUUGGUUGAAACUUGGUUAUAUAGUUUGUUAGGAUAUGGAUGUUUUUUGUGAAGUUUUUCUGGAUUUUGCUAGGAUGGGGGUGAUUUGGUUAGGCAUUUUUUAUGGAGGUUAUGAUUGUCGAAGGGAAUUUUGAGAACUAGUUAUGUUUGUUGCAGCAGUUGGGAGAGAUUAGUUCAUUUAUGGAGGGUGAAGAGUUUUGAUUUUGUUGGUAACAGUUGGAGGGUGUAAAGAGUUGGUUGAAGUAGUUGGAGAGAACGAGAUUCCACCCUUGUUUAUGUUGAAGGUUCUUCCGGUUCUCUUCCGUUUGUAGGUUGAGAGGGUCAUUGAAAGAUGGUUAGGGGGUUCAAUGAAAAAUGGUUUUAAGCUCUUUUCUGUUAGGAUGGAGGUGAAGAUUGUUAUGAGUUGUAAUUAUGUUCAAGAAAAGUUUUUAUUGUGAUGCCAAAAGAUAUUGGUUUUGUGUUGUCCAAAUAAGCUUAUCAACUUGUUGCACCUCAGAAUUGCUCACAGAAUUUCCAUGGUGGUUGAUUCUUUUAUUCAUCCACUGGUCAGACUAGCACCAAUAAGUGAUCUGUUGGAGCAUAGCCAUCAAUUAUAGAUCAUUUGGAGAAUUCUUGCAGAUUUGUUGAAAGUUGGGUUGUGGAAAGCUUGAUAUGCUAUGUUAAUUGGUGUGAAGUUUACUUUUUGUUCAGACAUUAGGAUGGGAAUGCAAGAGCAAUGUAGCAAGGCUUGGUUGUUUGAAUUAUGAAUCAUACGCUGUAGAUUGUGUAAGGAUUGAAAAUGUAACUUUGUAAUUCAAAUUCAAAUUAUGUUACAAUUGGAAAUGGAAAGUAUAAUGGUUGUAAUGUGACAAAAUGGUUAAACAAUAUGGAAAUGUAUUAGGAGAUGAAUUGGGAUUUUGAAAUGAAUGAAAUGUUAUUAACGUA